rnacentral:rRNA from 1 species
UACGGAGGGUGCAAGCGUUAUCCGGAUUCACUGGGUUUAAAGGGUGCGUAGGAGGGCAGGUAAGUCAGUGGUGAAAUCUCCAAGCUUAACUUGGAAACUGCCGUUGAUACUAUCUGUCUUGAAUAUUGUGGAGGUGAGCGGAAUAUGUCAUGUAGCGGUGAAAUGCAUAGAUAUGCCAUAGAACACCAAUUGCGAAGGCAGCUUACUGGGCCUUGAUUGACGCUGAGGCACGAAAGCGUGGGGAUCAAACAGG